AUUUCAAAGGUACGCUCGACUGUGUACGUGUUUCAUAAACUGUUCUUCGACGACCGUGUUCCUAUUUUAUCCAAUUGAUUUCCAACGACGAAAACCAUCAGCAUGCACAAAGGUACAAUGUGGGCUGUCUCUGUUCUGUCCACCACUGGGAAUUGAACCUCGGAUUUUAGCAUUGUAUGUUAACAAACUUACUGCUAAGCUAUCGGAGGCCCGUGAACGAGGCCAAGUGUGGAUAGCGUGUCGAAAUACAGGUUACUGGGUCCAGGGAUCGAGACACUGUGCCUCUGAACAUACUCUGCACAUUCAGCAGUGUGUUGAAUAAACUACUCGAGGAUAUCUGUGCUAACAGUCUCUAAUUUUCAAUGUGCAGACUAGAGGAAGGGCAGCUAGUCGACAUCACCCACUGCCAAAUGUUUGGCUAUCCUUUACCAACGAAUAGUGGGAUUGACCGUCACGUUAUAACGCUCCCACAAUGGAAAGGAUCCCCCCAUUGGCACCGCGGUAUAUCUGCAGACCUACAGCGCUAGAAACCGGGUUUCGAUACUCGU